CGCACCUUCUUAUGAAGAAUGCCUUCGAUAAGGCCAAGUAUGCCAACUCCGUGGCGGAUGCAA
rnacentral:tRNA from 1 species